UUGAACGCUGGCGGCAUGCCUUACACAUGCAAGUCGAACGGCAGCACGGGAGCAAUCCUGGUGGCGAGUGGCGAACGGGUGAGUAAUAUAUCGGAACGUGCCCAGUCGUGGGGGAUAACGCAGCGAAAGCUGUGCUAAUACCGCAUACGAUCUCUGGAUGAAAGCGGGGGAUCGCAAGACCUCGCGCGUUUGGAGCGGCCGAUAUCUGAUUAGCUAGAUGGUGGGGUAAAGGCUCACCAUGGCGACGAUCAGUAGCUGGUCUGAGAGGAUGAUCAGCCACACUGGAACUGAGACACGGUCCAGACUCCUACGGGAGGCAGCAGUGGGGAAUUUUGGACAAUGGGGGAAACCCUGAUCCAGCCAUUCCGCGUGAGUGAAGAAGGCCUUCGGGUUGUAAAGCUCUUUCGGCAGGAACGAAACGGCGGAAUCUAAUACAUUCCACUAAUGACGGUACCUGAAGAAGAAGCACCGGCUAACUACGU
rnacentral:rRNA from 1 species